ensembl:antisense Gm14820 predicted gene 14820
CCCUUGGAGGACACGUGUUGUUUGGAGGCAGUAUAAAAAGGACUCCACAGCCCGUGAAAGAGGCUGAGCUAGGUUUGCUUAUAGAGCUAGCUGCGCACCACUUGUUGAUCUCUUUCUUGUCUUUGCUGCUCUUCACUUCUCUGAGAGAGGUACAGCUAAGAACUCCCAGCGUUCCUCCAGAUCCCUCUUGCUGACUUGUGCCGAGGCUGAGGCCUGGCUGGCUCUGCUAGCUAGUGCCACCCGCUGCUGAUUCCUGUUUGCUGUACCGACUCUACCGUACUGGACUGCUGGUGUAUCUGUGAAGUGUUUGCGAGUGGAUCACGCUGCUGCUGCUGCUGCUAACCUGGGAACUGAACUACUGAUUUUCCGACAACACAGAUGGAAGUUGCUCCAAAGAGCCAUUUCUAAACAGAGUGGUCUCUGAAUUAUAUUUUGAAGUCUGUAUCCUACAACUUUGUAUUUCUUAACCCUGGAUGGUUUUGAGGGAUUUUAAUCAGCGUACCAUGGGUUUGCUCACUGAUUUGUUGGGUGACUGUACUUAAAUUGACGUCUUGAAGCUACCUAAUGGCCUGGAUAUAUGGCCUCUAAGGUUGCUGCUUCGAGUUUCUUGACCACUC